UAGCUUAAAUGGUAAAGAAUCUGCCUGCAAUGCAGGAGACCCAGGUUCAAUCCCUGG
rfam:TPA: Bos taurus chromosome 10, whole genome shotgun sequence.